UAACCAAAAUAGAACCAGGAAGACACCAUUUACGGUCACCAACACACAUAAUCUCAAAACAAGAACCACAGCUUAAACCACUGUUGAACAAAGCUGUGCUUAAAGCAGCAGUGUUUGUUCCAUACCCUUGACUGUAAAGGUUACCAUAUCCACAUGCCCCACCUAAAAAAAAAAUUGAUUUUUAAGCAAAUUAGUCAAAUGGGUUUUGUUUAAAUUGCUUAAUGUCAAAUGGGUUUUGUUUAAAUUGCUUAAUAAGUGAUAAAAAUGUAAUCUUUUUUUUUUAUAAUUUUUGGAUACAUAGUUAUAUAGUACAUACCCAUUGUUCCUGAUGCAUCACUUCCUCCAUAGAAGGUUGCAUGUGCAUUAACC
rnacentral:lncRNA from 1 species